GGUCAAACGACGACACAUCCUAUCGUUCUUGGAUCAGAUCAAAUAUUGCAGUCGUGGUCCAUCGGCUGCAUCAUGGGAAAGUGCACUAAGCAAGUUCACGCGCUGUUGCUACUUCUUCUCGUAUGCUUCGCUAUUCAUGGGCAGUUUGAAGCCAUCGGUGUCAAUGGCGAGCGUAUUCCUCCGUGGUGCACAAAGAGUGCAACUAUACCAAUCUGCAACCCAGAUAAAUAUAGAUGCUAUUGUUGUGUUCAAAAUUGGCAAUGCUACAAAACAAUGGAUGAGUGCAGAGCCAAGUGUGCAUAUUUACCUCCCUCCUCUUCCUCUGUACUUCCAUGAAACCGGGUUCUUAUCAUGAGCUAGAAGAAAAAUGAAUAAGAUCCAGACAAUAAACAAUUUGCUAUGAA